rnacentral:pre_miRNA from 1 species
UGAGCUUGGAAUUAAUUUUUAUCUCGUCUGCAUUUUGUGGAUGAUUCUUCUGUUGAGUGUUUGUAAUUUGUUCACACUCCAAGGAUAUGAUCCCAUGAUGACAGAUGAGAUAAGAAAUUUUUCCACGGCUACA